UAAAACUCCGCUGGCGUGAAAGAUGACGUCCUUAGCCCAGCAGCUCCAACGACUCGCCCUCCCUCAAAGUGAUGCCAGCCUCUUGUCUAGAGAUGAAGUUGCCUCUUUGUUGUUUGACCCUAAGGAAGCGGCCACCAUCGACAGAGACACCGCCUUUGCCAUAGGAUGCACUGGCCUGGAAGAGUUGCUUGGAAUUGAUCCUUCCUUUGAGCAGUUUGAAGCACCAUUGUUCAGUCAGCUAGCAAAAACCUUGGAGCGAAGUGUUCAGACCAAAGCAGUAAACAAACAGUUGGAUGAAAACAUUUCAUUAUUCCUUAUUCACUUGUCGCCUUACUUCCUGCUUAAGCCGGCACAGAAGUGUCUGGAGUGGUUGAUUCACAGAUUCCAUAUACAUCUCUAUAAUCAAGAUAGCCUCAUUGCUUGUGUUCUGCCAUACCACGAGACAAGAAUAUUUGUGCGAGUCAUACAGCUUCUAAAAAUUAAUAAUUCAAAGCACAAAUGGUCCUGGUUGUCGCCAGUUAAGCAAUCUGGAGUGCCCUUAGCUAAAGGAACUUUGAUUACCCACUGCUACAAAGAUCUUGGAUUCAUGGAUUUCAUUUGUAGUUUGGUGACAAAAUCUGUGAAGGUUUUUGCUGAGUCCCCGGGCAACUCAGCUCAGUUGAGGGUGCUCUUGGCUUUCUAUGCUUCUACCAUAGUGUCGGCGCUGGUAGCUGCAGAGGACGUAUCAGACAAUAUCAUCGCCAAACUAUUUCCCUACAUCCAAAAGGGAUUGAAAUCAUCUUUACCAGAUUACAGAGCUGCAACAUACAUGAUAAUAUGUCAAAUUUCUGUGAAAGUGACCAUGGAAGAUACCUUUGUGAAUUCAUUGGCGUCACAGAUCAUCAAAACAUUGACCAAGAUUCCGUCUUUGAUCAAGGAUGGAUUAAGUUGCUUGAUAGUGCUCCUGCAAAGACAGAAGCCAGAGAGCCUUGGGAAAAAGCCAUUCCCUCACUUAUGUAGUGUUCCCGAUCUUAUUACCAUACUUCAUGGGAUUUCUGAAACUUACGAUGUCAGUCCUCUUCUGCGUUACAUGCUUCCCCAUCUGGUUGUCUCCAUCAUUCAUCAUGUUACAGGAGAAGAAACUGAAGGAAUGGAUGGUCAAAUCUACAAGAGACACUUAGAAGCUAUACUUACAAAAAUAUCACUGAAGAACAACUUAGACCAUUUGUUGGCUAGUCUUCUAUUUGAAGAGUAUAUUUCAUAUAGUUCACAGGAAGAAAUGGAUUCUAAUAAAGUGUCUUUGCUUAAUGAACAAUUUCUUCCACUCAUUAGGCUUUUAGAAAGCAAAUACCCCAGAACGUUAGAUGUUGUAUUAGAGGAGCACUUAAAGGAAAUUGCAGAUCUGAAGAAACAAGAGCUUUUUCAUCAGUUUGUUUCUCUUUCAACAAGUGGAGGAAAGUAUCAGUUUUUAGCAGAUUCUGAUACUUCUUUGAUGCUCAGCCUGAAUCAUCCACUUGCUCCUGUGAGACUUCUGGCCAUUAAUCAUUUGAAAAAGAUCAUGAAAACAUCAAAGGAGGGUGUUGAUGAGUCUUUCAUAAAAGAAGCUGUUUUAGCCCGAUUAGAUGAUGAUAAUAUAGAUGUUGUUUUGUCGGCUGUAAGUGCUUUUGAGAUUUUCAAAGAACAUUUCACUGCAGAAGUGACGAUUUCAAAUCUUCUGAAUCUCUUUCAAAGAGCGGAACUUUCAAAGAAUAGAGAAUGGUACAAGGUACUUAAGAUAGCAGCUGACAUAUUAAUUAAAGAAGAGAUACUAAGUGAAAAUGAUCGGUUGUCAAAUCAGGUGGUUGUAUGUUUGCUGCCAUUUAUGGUUAUCAAUAAUGAUGACAUGGAAUCUGCUGAGAUGAAAAUUGCUAUAUAUUUAUCAAAAUCAGGAAUCUGCUCUCUGCACCCUCUAUUAAGAGGCUGGGAAGAAGCUCUUGAAAAUGUGAUUAAAAGCACAAAGCCAGGAAAACUAACUGGUGUAGCAAAUCAGAAGAUGAUUGAGUUGUUAGCUGAUAAUAUAAAUUUAGGAGAUCCUUCUUCAAUGUUAAAGAUGGUGGAGGAUUUAAUAAGCCUGGGUGAGGAGGAGUCCGUUAACCAGAAGCAGAAAGUAACGUUUCACGUGGUCAUGUCUGUGCUCGUCUCUUGUUGUUCAUCUUUAAAAGAAACCCACUUUCCAUUUGCGAUAAGAGUCUUCAGUUUGUUGCAGAAAAAAAUAAAGAAGCUUGAAAGUGUCAUUACUGCAGUGGAAAUCCCCUCAGAAUGGCACAUUGAACUGAUGUUAGACAGAGGGAUACCAGCGGAGCUGUGGGCACAUUAUGUAGAAGAGCUCAACAGCACUCAGAGGAUGGCCGUGGAGGACUCGGUUUUUCUUGUAUUUUCCCUGAAAAAUUUUAUUUAUGCACUGAAAGCUCCUAAAUCUUUUCCUAAAGGUGACAUAUGGUGGAAUCCUGAACAACUGAAAGAAGACAGCAGGGACUAUCUGCACUUGCUCAUUGGGCUGUUUGAGAUGAUGCUCAAUGGUGCUGAUGCUAUUCAUUUCAGAGUUCUGAUGAAACUUUUCAUAAAGGUACAUCUAGAAGAUGUUUUUCAGUUAUUCAAGUUCUGUUCUGUUUUAUGGACCUAUGGUUCUAGCCUUUCAAAUCCACUUAACUGCAAUGUGAAAACAGUGCUGCAGACUCAAGCUCUUUAUGUGGGCUCUGCAGUGCUCUCUUCUCAGAAGACACAGUGUAAACACCAACUGGCAUCCAUAUCUUCUCCAGUGGUGACAUCUUUACUCAUUAACCUGGGAAGCUCCAUAAAAGAAGUUCGUAGGGCUGCCAUUCAAUGUCUCCAGGCCCUCAGUGGAGUGGCGUCCCCCUUUCAUCUCAUAAUAGAUCAUUUGAUUCCUAAAGCAGAGGAGAUCACUUCAGAUGCUGCCUAUGUUACUCAGGAUUUGGCUACUUUAUUUGAGGAACUACAGAGAGAAAAGAAACUGAAGUCUCAUCAGAAGUUGUCUGAAACUUUGAAAAACUUACUUAGUUGUGUAUAUAGUUGCCCAUCUUAUAUAGCAAAAGAUUUGAUGAAAGUACUUCAGGGAGUCAACGGUGAGAUGGUGCUUUCUCAGCUAUUGCCUAUGGCUGAACAACUGCUAGAAAAGAUCCAGAAGGAGCCCACAGCUGUGCUGAAAGAUGAGGCCAUUGUUUUGCAUCUCGCUCUGGGAAAGUAUAAUGAAUUUUCAGCUUCCCUUUUAAAUAAGGAUCCAAAGAGUCUAGAUAUAUUUAUAAAAGCUGUGCACGCAACAAAGGAACUUUACGCAGGAAUGCCAGCCAUUCAGAUCACAGCCCUUGAAAAGAUUACAAAACCAUUUUUUGCAGCCGUAUCAGAUGAAAAAGUUCAGCAGAAGCUUUUAAGAAUAUUGUUUGAUUUAUUGGUGAAUUGUAAAAACUCACAUUGUGCUCAGACUGUCAGCAGUGUUUUUAAAGGGAUUUCCGUUAAUGCUGAACAAGUCAGAAUAGAACUGGAGCCACCAGAUAAAGCUAAACCCUUGGGCACGGUUCAGCAAAAAAGAAGGCAAAAAAUGCAGCAGAAAAAAUCACAAGAUCUAGAAUCUGUCCAGGAAGUUGGAGGUUCCUACUGGCAAAGAGUAACUCUCAUCCUGGAAUUACUGCAGCACAAAAAGAAGCUCAAAAGUCCUCAGAUAUUGGUGCCAACUCUUUUUAACUUGCUAUCAAGGUGUUUAGAGCCCUUGCCACAAGAGCAGGGAAAUAUGGAAUACACCAAACAGUUAAUUCUUAGUUGUCUGCUCAACAUCUGCCAGAAACUCUCUCCAGAUGGUGGCAAAAUACCCAAAGAUGUUUUAGAUGAGGAGAAGUUCAAUGUGGAGUUGAUAGUUCAGUGUGUCCGCCUUUCGGAGAUGCCGCAGACCCAUCACCACGCCCUUUUACUUUUGGGCACUGUGGCUGGAAUAUUUCCGGAUAAAGUUCUACACAAUAUCAUGUCUAUUUUUACAUUUAUGGGAGCCAAUGUCAUGCGCCUGGAUGAUACUUACAGUUUUCAGGUUAUUAACAAGACGGUGAAAAUGGUUAUUCCUGCACUUAUUCAGUCUGACAGUGGAGAUUCUAUAGAAGUUUCAAGAAACGUUGAAGAGAUCGUGGUAAAAAUCAUUAGUGUAUUUGUGGAUGCACUUCCACACGUCCCGGAGCACAGGCGCCUGCCCAUCCUUGUUCAGCUUGUUGAUACACUGGGUGCAAAGAAAUUCCUCUGGGUUCUCCUCAUCUUGCUUUUUGAACAGUAUGUCACAAAAACAGUGCUGGCGGCUGCCUAUGGAGAAAAGGAUGCUAUUUUAGAAGCAGACACUGAAUUUUGGUUUUCAGUCUGUUGUGAGUUUAGUGUCCAGCAUCAGAUACAAAGCUUGAUGAAUAUCCUCCAGUACUUACUAAAGCUGCCAGAGGAAAAAGAAGAAACCAUUUCCAAAGCAGUGUCUAAUAAGAGUGAAUCACAAGAAGAAAUGCUACAGAUUUUUAAUGUAGAGACUCACACUAGCAAGCAACUGCGACAUUUUAAAUUUUUGUCAGUGUCCUUCAUGUCUCAGCUCCUGUCUUCCAAUAAUUUUCUGAAAAAGGUAGUUGAGAGUGGUGGUCCUGAGAUUUUAAAAGGCCUUGAAGAGAGGUUGCUGGAGACUGUUCUCGGCUAUAUCAAUGCUGUUGCACAGUCCAUGGAAAGGAACGCAGACAAACUCACUGUGAAGUUCUGGCGUGCGCUCCUUAGUAAAGCUUACGACCUGUUAGACAAGGUCAAUGCCUUGCUGCCCACAGAGACAUUCAUUCCUGUGAUCAGAGGGCUGGUGGGCAAUCGCCUGCCAUCUGUUCGGCGGAAAGCGCUGGACCUUUUGAAUAACAAGCUACAACAGAAUAUAUCCUGGAAGAAGACAAUAGUUACCCGUUUCCUAAAACUGGUUCCAGACCUUUUGGCCAUUGUGCAGCGUAAGAAAAAGGAAGGGGAAGAAGAACAAGCAAUCAACAGGCAGACAGCAUUGUAUACCUUAAAGCUUUUAUGCAAGAAUUUUGGUGCAGAAAAUCCAGAUCCUUUUGUCCCAGUGCUGAGCACUGCUGUGAAACUGAUUGCUCCAGAGAGAAAGGAGGAGAAGAACGUCUUGGGAAGCGCGCUGCUGUGCGUAGCAGAGGUGACCUCCACCCUGGAGGCGCUGGCCAUCCCCCAGCUUCCCAGCCUAAUGCCCUCGUUACUGACAACAAUGAAGAACACCAGCGAGCUGGUCUCCAGCGAGGUCUACCUGCUCAGUGCCUUGGCCGCCCUGCAGAAGGUUGUGGAGACUCUCCCGCACUUCAUCAGCCCCUACCUGGAAGGCAUUCUCUCCCAGGUGAUUCACUUGGAGAAAAUCACUAGUGAAGUGGGUUCUGCCUCCUCACAGGCUAAUAUCCGUCUCACAUCUCUGAAAAAGACACUGGCUACCACACUCGCACCCCGAGUCCUGUUGCCCGCCAUCAGAAAAACUUACAAGCAGAUCGAGAAGAACUGGAAGAAUCACAUGGGUCCGUUUAUGAGCAUCUUGCAGGAGCAUAUUGGGGUGAUGAAGAAGGAAGAGCUCACCUCCCAUCAGUCUCAGCUAACCGCCUUUUUCCUGGAGGCCCUGGACUUCCGAGCCCAGCACUCUGAGAAUGAUCUGGAGGAAGUUGGAAAAACAGAAAAUUGUAUCAUUGACUGUCUAGUAGCCAUGGUUGUCAAGCUUUCCGAGGUCACAUUCCGACCCCUGUUCUUCAAGCUGUUUGAUUGGGCUAAAACAGAAGAUGCCCCAAAGGACAGGUUGUUGACAUUUUACAACUUGGCAGAUUGCAUUGCUGAAAAGCUGAAAGGGCUUUUUACGCUGUUUGCCGGCCACUUAGUGAAGCCUUUUGCUGACACCUUGAACCAGGUGAACAUCUCCAAAACAGAUGAAGCAUUUUUUGACUCUGAAAAUGACCCUGAAAAGUGCUGCUUGCUGUUGCAGUUUAUUUUGAACUGUUUAUACAAAAUCUUCCUUUUUGAUACCCAGCAUUUUAUAAGUAAAGAGAGAGCAGAAGCCUUGAUGAUGCCUCUGGUGGAUCAGCUGGAAAACAGGCUUGGGGGAGAAGAGAAAUUCCAGGAACGGGUGACAAAGCAGCUGAUACCGUGCAUCGCGCAGUUUUCGGUGGCCAUGGCGGAUGACUCUCUCUGGAAACCACUGAACUACCAGAUUCUGCUAAAGACCAGAGAUGCCUCGCCUAAGGUUCGAUUUGCUGCUUUGAUUACUGUGUUAGCACUGGCUGAAAAACUAAAGGAGAAUUAUAUUGUCUUGCUACCAGAAUCCAUUCCUUUCUUAGCAGAGUUGAUGGAAGAUGAAUGUGAAGAAGUAGAACAUCAGUGCCAAAAGACUAUUCAGCAACUGGAAACUGUCCUGGGAGAGCCGCUCCAGAGCUAUUUCUAAGACUUUCUGUGGUGUUUCAUACUCUACUCAGAGUUCUGAUUUUUCAUAUUUUUAUGUUUGGGUGUUGGGUGCCAUGUUACUUUUGGUGCCUUAAUACACCUACGUGGUACUUAACAAAUGUUUUAUCACUUCUUUACAAAAUUCUCACCUGGUUUAUGCUACCACAUAAGCCUCUCCUGCCUAUUGUAUAGAGCUUCAGAAAGAGUAAAUGAUACAUGAUAUUUUUAUACAGACUGAUGUGUGUGUUUAAACAUUUAUUCUCUUCCUGAUUGAUGGUAAUAUCAGACCUGUUUACUUUUAGCACCCAAAGCAGACGCCUCAUUUGCACUGUAAGCCUUAACUCUUCUGUACAGCAGUGUCUUAUAUACAUGGUAUCUGUGUUGCAGAUUUCACUCCAAGUUGCUCUCUACUUGAAGAAAAUGAAGUUAUUUAGCAAUCAACAGAAAUACUUUUGACCGUAAAGCCUACUUAUCAUUUUGGGGGAGAUGGAGGCAAUACGCUGCUUCUAAAGCAGCUCACACCUGGCUGCUCACACAGAGGGCCCAGAAACACUGGGUGGCACAAGGAAGCUCCUCCCGGAUUAAGAAUGAACCCAAUUCCAUUGGUGGUUAACUAAGAAGUACUUGUCUAAGACAGUAUCAGUAGAUUUUUUUCAGUGCUUUCAAGUGCCCUAAUCUCUAGUACUGGGUCAUGGUGAGGUUGGAAAGUGAGGGCUCAAAUAAAAUUAAAUCUGCCCCCUUUUAAAGGCAUCAAGCACAGUCCCAUGGAAUGUUCGCAUUGAGUUUAAAAGCCUUUGAAACUAAUAUAGAAGUUUAAUGCAGAAAUGGGGCAAGCAAAAGGUCAACUUGCAGUGUAGAGACAGAGCUUGCUCGCAUAGAAUUGCGUAUUUCUAAGAAAUGUCUCAAUAAAAUUCAUUAAUAAAUACUAAUAGCUUUUUAAAUUUUUUACUCCACAUAAAAUGAAAAUGAACUUAAGACUUAUAAGGAAUGAUGUGAGUGGGCUAUUUUUUUCCCAAAUGCCUCACAGUCUCCAAAGCUCGGUUAAGCACCUUGAUGGUCUUUAUGAAAAAAAUAACUCUGGAGGAUUCUGGAGUCUUCUUGCCUUCUACAGCUUUCCCUGUGGCACCCCCCACCCCCAGCCAGUGUCUUUGAGCUUGGUGAGACUCUGCAUAAAUUAACAUGAAAAGCUGAAAAAGAAUUAAGGGCUAGCAAUUGCUACACUGAGUACUUUUUAAAAAAUAAGAUUGACAAUGGUAUUCUUUUCCAUAUAUGGAUAGAAAUAAUAUCUAACUGAAAUCUGUUCUGAAAAUAUUCCUAAAUCCUGGCAGAGUUCUGCCCCAGUUUAAUGUGAUAAAAUGAUCCUCACUGAGCGAGCUUUUUUUCCCUCCCGACUCCCAAACCUUUGAAAUUUCCUGAAACAAGAUCUGACCUGUAAAGAUCCCAUAUACAUGGAACUUCUGCCAACUCCCCUCAAAUAAUAGAAAAAUUACAGAAAUGCAACAAUUUAACUUGCUGAUACAGGUUUGAUUUUAAUCACUUGAAGCAGAAGAGUGCUUUGAUCUCAGUUGCUAAUGAUGAUGGACUAAUCUUAAGAACAGAGGCCUUGAGUGGUGAUUUGCAUGGGCACAAAACAGAUGUUUGCAUUACCUCUGCCUGCUUUGUGGGUCUCUUAGUUGGUGUACACUUUCUGAUACUACCUGCCUUAUGACUCCCUGAAGUCUAAUCCUGACCUUACUUUGUUGCCCAUAAAUACCUUUCAAAUUGAA